ACGUGGCCAUGCGCUUUCUCCUCUGCCAUCACGCAAUACCGCAGCAGCAGGUGUUGCCUUUUGCCCGCUCUGCUACGUCGAGGCCCGAGCCAGCAAGCGCGAGCCAGCGUCACGAG
rnacentral:lncRNA from 1 species